CAAUAGCGUAUAUUAAAGUUGUUGCAGUUAAAAAGCUCGUAGUUGGAUUUGUGGCGUACGGUGUGUUCCGGGCACUUGUUGUCUGAGUAACCUGCUGUUGCCAUCCUUGGGUGGAACCUGUGUGGCAUUAGGUUGUCGUGCAGGGGAUGCCCAUCAUUUACUGUGAAAAAAUUAGAGUGUUCAAAGCAGGCUUAUGCCGUUGAAUAUAUUAGCAUGGAAUAAUGAGAUAGGACUUUUUUGCUAUAUUGUUGGUUUGCGCAAAGAGGUAAUGAUUAAUAGGGACAGUUGGGGGUAUUCGUAUUCCAUUGUCAGAGGUGAAAUUCUUGGAUUUUUGGAAGACGAACUACUGCGAAAGCAUUUACCAAGGAUGUUUUCAUUAA
rnacentral:rRNA from 1 species